GGUGGCGUGACCGAGUGGUUAUGGUGCUGCGUUCAGGUCUACCUGAAUCAACUUCGCAGUGGAGCAAUCCGCGUGGGUUCGAGUCCCACCGCCAUCA